rnacentral:rRNA from 1 species
UACGAAGGGGGCUAGCGUUGCUCGGAAUCACUGGGCGUAAAGGGCGCGUAGGCGGAUGAUUAAGUCGGAGGUGAAAGCCCAGGGCUCAACCCUGGAAUUGCCUUCGAUACUGAUCAUCUUGAGAGUGGUAGAGGUCAGUGGAAUACCGAGUGUAGAGGUGAAAUUCGUAGAUAUUCGGUGGAACACCAGUGGCGAAGGCGACUGACUGGACCAUUUCUGACGCUGAGGCGCGAAAGCGUGGGGAUCAAACAGG